rnacentral:tRNA from 1 species
GGCGGUGUUCAAACGGUUAUAACAGUGGGCGCUGAACCCUCCGGUCCCGGGUUCGAAUCCCCGAGCCGCCG